UACGGAGGGUGCAAGCGUUAUCCGGAUUCACUGGGUUUAAAGGGUGCGUAGGUGGGUCUGUAAGUCAGUGGUGAAAUCUCCGGGCUUAACUCGGAAACUGCCGUUGAUACUAUAGAUCUUGAAUAUCGCGUAGGUAAGCGGAAUAUGUCAUGUAGCGGUGAAAUGCUUAGAUAUGACAUAGAACACCAAUUGCGAAGGCAGCUUACUUCACGAUCAUUGGCACUGAGGCACGAAAGCGUGGGGAGCAAACAGG
rnacentral:rRNA from 1 species